AACGCGAAGAACCUUACCAACCCUUGACAUCCUAGGACAACUCCAGAGAUGGAGCCUUCCUUCGGGACCUAGUGACAGGUGCUGCAUGGCUGUCGUCAGCUCGUGUCGUGAGAUGUUCGGUUAAGUCCGGCAACGAGCGCAACCCACAUCCUUAGUUGCCAGCAGUUCGGCUGGGCACUCUAGGGAAACUGCCCGUGAUAAGCGGGAGGAAGGUGUGGAUGACGUCAAGUCCUCAUGGCCCUUACGGGUUGGGCUACACACGUGCUACAAUGGCAGUGACAAUGGGUUAAUCCCCAAAAACUGUCUCAGUUCGGAUUGGGGUCUGCAACUCGACCCCAUGAAGUCGGAAUCGCUAGUAAUCGCGUAACAGCAUGACGCGGUGAAUACGUUCCCGGGUCUUGUACACACC
rnacentral:rRNA from 1 species